AGGGUUGUGGCUCAGUGGUAGAGCGCUUGCCUAGCAUGGGUGAGGCACUGGGUUUGAUUCUCAGCACCCCAU
rnacentral:tRNA from 1 species